AUUGCACGUAUGUUAAUCAUGUAGUGUUCUAAACCUAUUGUGAGCUUCCCAACACUACAACAAACAACCAUAUAAUUAAUUGGUGAUCAAGCAAUCAAAUAAUAAAAUUAAGCAUGCAAGAUUAAUCAAUAAUUGCAAGAGUUCUACUAAGCCAUGUGUCUCGAAUUAAAAAUAAAUAAUAACGGGUUUCAUUUUCAUCCAAUACAUGAGAAAAAUUAGUCUAACAUAUUAUUGGAAUUAAACACAAAAAAAUUGGAAAGACGUCACCGGAAUUUUAGCGAACGUGAUUAAUUCCACACUUUUCCUUAGUUCAUGCAUGCGUGUAUAUGUUAUUUUCUUCAAAAACAGCCAUCCAAUUGUUUUUAUCAACUGCCAAUCAAUUUGCUCCUUAAUUUCUAGCCAUGUAUCUCUCUCCUUUGACCCAAGGCAACCUUCAAUUCCUUCCUGCAACAGCAACCUUUAUUCUGGUUCUUUUUUUUUUUUUUUUUUCCAAUCCCAGCUUCCCUCUGUUGCAUGUAUAUAUGUCUCUCAAUUCCUCAAAGUUAGCCGCCAAUGUGUGUAAUAAUAUUUCCCCAGAUUUGCAGCUGUCUUCCCUUCUUUCCUGAUUCGGUUUGGUCGAUAAAAAAAAUCCAAAUUCAGCCCCUUUUUCUGUGCGUAUACUCCUCUCUAAUUUCACAAGGCAAACGCUUAAUUUCUCCUCUCCCAAACAGUGUGCGUAUGGAGUUUCUCUAAAUUAUAGCAGCCCCCAAGUUGCCUUUUUUUCUUCUGUGGGUUUUUCUCCUCCUUUUGCCAAAUUCUCCCUCCAGUUCGCCUGCGUGAGUUACAUACAUACAUACAUACACACACACACACACACACACAUAUAUAUAUAUAUAUAGACACACACACACACACACACACAAAAUCCCAAGCAGCCCACGUUUAUUUUGUAUGAUUUGAAUUUCAAAGUGACAACAAUUAUUGACUUCCAAUACAAAUCCAAUCCUUUUCUUCCUGUCGGCAGCCCACUUCUUUU
rnacentral:lncRNA from 1 species